rnacentral:lncRNA from 1 species
GUCGCUGCUACAACUAAGGGAGAGCUAUUAUGUUGGGCCAUAGCCCAGCCCAACCUAACCCAUGUUGUGCUCCAGUAGCUGCUUUAAGCCCAUACCACAAUCCAGCAUUCAUGAGUAGUGGGACAAAGCCCAGUCCAGCUCCACACCUAGUCCAGCAACAACUCAGCAAUCCAAUCUCUCAUCCAUUGAGUCUGAUUCUAUGUGAGAAUGUACACAGCU